rnacentral:rRNA from 1 species
AUGGUGAAGGAGAAGGGGAAUGAGAAGGGAAAGGGUGCUGGUAAGGAGAAUGGGAAGCCGAAGGGUGCUGGUAAGGAGAAUGGGAAGGCAAAGGCAAAGGAAAAGAGCUUGAAUUACCUAAUUAGGCAAGAUUCGGCGCUGCCUCCUCUAGUUCCGAGGAAGAAGAGCAAACCUAAGGUGCAGAUUAAGAAGGCGAAAGACUUUCCCAACGCCCCAAUGGGAGAGUUGAUUUGUAGGUUAAAAAACACCCUCCGCCUCCUCCGCGUCUCCUCGACCGCACCGGUGCCGGCGUGCGUGCCACGGAAGCCACUGCCUACGGCUCGGCAACUGGCUCCGAGCUGCCUCAUGCAUCUACUAUUGUGGUAG